UAAAGCACAAAAUAGCUACGGCUGUAAAAAUAUACAGAAGAAGUGGCCGAGGUAGAUGAGGAUCAUCGGAGGCGUCUCAAAUCGGAGAGGUGAAGCAAUGGCUGGUUCAUGAGUUUGGCAAAGUUUAAUGCUUUAUUUCCAGAAAGUUUUAAGCCGAUGCUCUGCUUCAGCCUAUGGCUUCUUGAACUCAAAUGGGAGCAAUUUUAGCGUCACCGUAAUGGUGCAAUUCUACAUACAAGAGCGAUUCAGGCAAUGUUCCUAUCGGAUUGUUACGGGUCCCACGUUCAGUAAAUCUGGUACCUAUAUUAUAUAGGUUUGUAACUUUUCGUUCGUAGGGUUUGUUUUGCUUUAGAACUACUUGUCGAUUAGGGUUUGAUGUUGGUUAGGAGCUUUAUUUUCUUCUUUGAUUGUCCUUGUUGCUGGAUACCAAAUAUGAUUUGUCUUUUAAUUAGUGCAAUCUGCUAUUUAAUGUC